GAUGAACGCUGGCGGCGUGCCUAAUACAUGCAAGUCGAACGGGGAGUACUUACUUCGGUUUUUACUCCUAGUGGCGAACGGGUGAGUAACGCGUUGGUGACCUGCCCCGAAGAGGGGGAUAACUCCGCGAAAGCGGAGCUAAUACCCCAUAGUGUCGUAGAGGUUAGAGACUAAACGACUAAAGGAGCGAUCCACUUCGGGAGGGGCCUGCGUCCCAUCAGCUAGUUGGUAAGGUAACGGCCUACCAAGGCGAAGACGGGUAGGGGGCCUGAGAGGGCGGCCCCCCACACUGGCACUGAAACACGGGCCAGACACCUACGGGUGGCAGCAGUAGGGAAUAUUGCACAAUGGGCGAAAGCCUGAUGCAGCAACGCCGCGUGCGCGAAGAAGGCCUUCGGGUUGUAAAGCGCUUUUCUGGAGGAAGAGGAAGGACGGUACUCCAGGAAUAAGGAUCGGCUAACUACGUG
rnacentral:rRNA from 1 species